CCUAUCAACUUGUUUCGAACAUCUUAGAAGCUCAAUACGGUUUUUAAAAAAACUGUACAAAAAAUGCACUGAGAGUAAGAUCCAUACCCCCUCACUCCUUUCAAAAUUUUAACAAUUCUCCUUUUCUGUGUCCACCCUCACAACACAAGGAAUUGGAUCAGCACCCCCUGAAAAGGAACUAGCUUUCAGGGGAGUUGUAGAAAAGGAAAAGAUGGAAAUGAAGUGGUUUCACCUGUGAUCAUGAAAAGAGCACUCAAUCAACCAAUAAUAAAAAUAACCAUGCAAGUCUCAAUUUUGACCCAAAAAAUCCAUGAUGUGAAUCAAUGUGAAUUUGAUUUGUGUGAAGUGUGAUUUUCCUCACAGUGUUCCAGAGCAGAGCUUGACGUUGCUAAACAGUUGCUCUCUUUGUCCCCAGGGCCAUCAACGACAAAGAAGCCUGGGCACAGGCACUUGCUGAGAACCUCCAAACCAGGGUGACCUUACCAGACAGUGAGACUACAGGCACCACCUUUCUAAGGAGUUUCACCUCCCAAGCCUGAACCACUCUGCAUUAUUUCCUGAAAGAGACCCCACAUUUAUGGGAUGACCAUCCUUCUCUGAUCCCAACUGCUGCCAGAGCAACUGUGUCUUAUCGUGUCGUAUGAGGGAGGGGAAUACUAUUUCCGAAGAGAUGGUGGAACAUCUGUAUAAAUCCAGCUUUGUGAAUAUUUUUAAACUGAGAGAUUUUCCAUCUGUUUUGGAGUUACAGCGGUGCACAUUAUCCUCACUUGAGCUCUUAAUGAUAUAUGUGUGAUGGAAACAAGACGUUUUAACGCGUAAGUAUUCAUGGCCUCCCCAUUCCUGUCCGUGCAGAUUCUACCCUUCCCCCCCCCCCCCCCGUAAGCAAUUCUUUUUUUUUUUUUUUUUUUUUUUUUUUGCCAGUCUAGUUCUUGGUGUUUUUGUAACGCAAAACUAGAAGACAGGGAGAGCAACUGGGCCAAAGAUGCUUGAAGAAAAAGGGAAAAGAGAUUUGCUUUCUGGGUCAGCCCUGGGUUCUUUCUUGUGGAGAAUCCAGAUAAUGAGCAAAGCAGAAAUGAAACCAUAAAAAAGAAGUUCAAUUCUAAAUUGAUCUCAAUAAGAAAGAGCUUGAGGUGGAGGCAGGAGGAAAGAAGACAGAAAAGCGAGAAAAGGUGGGGGUCAGGGGAAUUGGGGGAUUUCAAGAAGACUCUGGAACAAAUAUAGAGUAUGAAAGAAGUGUGGAAGAGAGAUGAUAUCUUUUAAAGUAUUGUUAUGGAUUAUGGCACAGAUCUCCCUAACAGUCCUUGAGAAAUGCAUAUAAAAUAUUAAAAUGUCUUUUAAUUCAUUUUGGGCUACAGGACUAUAUAUUCUUCAAACAGAACGCUAUGCUAAAAUUGAUUCAUCUGAACCCCAUAUACACACACAUGUACACACUUUAUAUUUGGAUCAUAUGUAGUCCUUCCUAACUAAACAGCCAGCAUCCACAUUAUAUAUUCUCUUUAAAUUCAUCCUGGGUCUCUACCUGAUCUUUUGCCCACCCAACCUGGGAAACCACAUCCUUUCAGACUGCAUGGGAGAGAAAUACACUUUUAUGUCUGAACCAGUGACUUAUGGAAGUAUUUGUUAUUGUAACUUAGCCUGUACUAUAAUCCAUACAUUUAGAAUAUGUUGCUUUCUAUUUAAGGAAUUAUUUUUUUAAUGUUUUACUUAUUUAUUUUGAGAGAGAGAGAGAGAGAGAGAGAGAGAGAGACAGAGACAGAGAGUGUGUGUGUGUGUGUGUGUGUGUGUGUGUGUGUGUGUGUGGUGUGUGUGUGCUGUCAGAGCAGAGCCUAAGGGAGGGUUGAACUCAUGAACCAUGAGAUCACGACCUGAACUGAAAUCAAGAGUCUGGAUGCUGAACCAGCUGAGCCACCCAAGCACCCCAGUUUAAGGAAUUAUUGAUUAAUGGAUAAUGUAACUUUUAUAUACAACUCUCUGUACUAUGCAAACAAUCCGAUGUAGUAAAAAAAGUUCAAUCAUCAGAGAAGUGCCAUUCACUGCUAUGAAGAUUCAUCUCCUCCUGUAUCAUUGUGUUGUAAUUGAUUAAAACAAAGUUCUGAUUUGCAGAACUAGACCAAACAAUUGUAGUGAACCAGCUGAUAGCUAUACAUUCUCAAUAGAUUUAUUCACUUAUUUAUUAAAUAUUAGCAAAUGGUUUCCAAUUUACAGUCCAGCAUGUAAGUAGUUUAGAAGUCAUUUCUCCUAUCCAUACAAAAAAAAAAAAGCUAAAUAAACUGAAAUUAACAAGUCA
rnacentral:lncRNA from 1 species